GGUAAUCAGUAGCACUGAAGGAGUCAAAAUAUUCUGAAGAAAAGAACUGAUGUACUCUCAGCCAAGCCCACACAAAACAGUGCCUGAAGGUUGUACGCUGCUCCAGACCCAUUCAUGUGGCCAGCCAAGUGCUGAGAGGCAGCAGCCAUUUCUCCAAUGAGGAUUCUGAGCUCUGAAGAUCCCUCCUUCCUCACUCAGCAAGUAAACUGAGAGCUCUGUCCAUGUUUCUUCUGCAUGUGCUCCUGUGGUUGAAGGGAAGUGUCCUCUUAUCUACCUGGAAAAUAGAAGGAGAAUGAAGGUGCAAGAUCAGUUUAGAAGACCUGACAUUCUCAGAGCUGAGGUCAUCAGUCUUCUCCACAACUGACAAUAAAGAUGGAUUAGUAGUCAACUGGAGUACCAAAGCCUCUUGACAGUUUGAAAGUCUAUUGACUAUCCAGAUUAAAAAGAAAACUGUGUCCAGGCAAGAAAUUCUUAUGCAUGUGCAGAUCACACUGUUUGUACCUAGGAAUUAAAAGAACAGUAACUACUGUUCAAAACCUAAA